AAAACAACACUAAAGAUCGUUGGCUUAGUAUAUAUAACAUUUUCCGAAAAACUAAAUAUUUUCGUAGGGGUUAACACAUAGAUUUUGAGAAAAAUUCAAAAAUAUGAAAAUACUGUUUUAAUUUAUAGUUGCAUCAUUCACUAACAUAUGAUGAAGGUCAAAGUGGUUUGGAACCUUUGUUGUCUCCGUUUUUCUAGAGAGUAGUGAUUUUAUAGUGGUUAGUCCACCAAUUUAGGGAGUGUUAUGAAGUUUUGCUGAAUAAAUUGA